UACAAAGUCAUGUAUGUUGAAUGCAAAUUUACAAUUGCCUCAUGAAGGGGACCCAAAUUUUCAGAUGGAAUGACUACCAGCGAACGAAUUCUUUCAUAAACCAACAUCAAUUGUUCUAGUUUUCCCUCGAUAUCUUGCAAAUAUGACUGAGCAUUCAAAGAACUAGAUACAUUUUUCGUCAACGUGGUUUCCUCAUGCACAAUCAAAUCGGUAAUUUGCCGCUCUACUUCUUUGAGUGCAUACCCCAACCUCUUUCUGGCGACUUCUUUGUCUUCGUUAACAUCGGAGUCAGCAUGAACAGAGAUUAACACUCGUUCAGCCUGCGCCUUUGGAUCGAAAUCUGAUUUUUUGUAAUCUGAA